UACGUAGGGUGCGAGCGUUAAUCGGAAUUACUGGGCGUAAAGCGUGCGCAGGCGGUUCGUUAAGUUCGUUGUGAAAGCCCCGGGCUCAACCUGGGAACUGCAAUGGAAACUGGCGGGCUUGAAUGCGGCAGAGGGGGGUGGAAUUCCGCGUGUAGCAGUGAAAUGCGUAGAGAUGCGGAGGAACACCGAUGGCGAAGGCAGCCCCCCUGGGCCGACAUUGACGCUCAGGCACGAAAGCGUGGGGAGCAAACAGG
rnacentral:rRNA from 1 species